rnacentral:rRNA from 1 species
ACGCUCGACACCUACGGGAGGCNGCAGUGGGGAAUAUUGCACAAUGGGGGAAACCCUGAUGCAGCGACGCCGCGUGAAGGAAGAAGUAUUUCGGUAUGUAAACUUCUAUCAGCAGGGAANAAAAUGACGGUACCUGACUAAGAAGCCCCGGCUAACUACGUGCCACAGCCGCGGUAAUCUGAGCGGGCUGGCAAGGC